GUUUACUUUGAUGAUUUUCCUACUGUGAAGCUUUCCUUGUAUAAAGCUCAAUUUUUCCAUGACCACGGAAGUAAACAUCCUGAUGCAUUCUUGUCAUGUGAAUGUUGAGAGCGUGUUCAUUUUUGAAAUCUCCUUUCUGACAGACAUAUUCUACAGGUAAGUUUGUCUUAUUUUUGUUUACAUUUCCUAUAUGAAGGUCAUCUUUGUAUUUAACCAUGAUUAUGUAAAGUUCUGUUUUGAAUGUAAAUACUAUAUUUAUCCUCAUUUCAUGUGAUUUACAGUUGUUUAGCCUGCAUGUAACUCAGAGUGCAUUUAAUAAUUCUAUGAUGGGUCAUUCUAUGAUUGAAUUUCAAUCAGAAAAAUGUUCACUAAAUUUUGGUAAAAUACAUGGUAUCUUUUACAUUUCUAUCCCUUUUGUCUGUAAAUUACUUUGCUUUACUUACAUUGUUAAAUGAGGUUAAUUGUGUAUCACUGAAUUGUAUGAUUUUUUUCAGGAUCAGCUGAGAUGUAAUCAAUCACUGGAUUAUUUAAUGGAUAGGCUUAUUGGGCAUAUAUUUGGAUAUCUCUGUCAUCAACAUGGAAUGUAUGACUUCAUCUUUUAUACAGUCGGGUUCGGGGUUUCGGGCGGCCAUGACGAAUUUCGGCAAGAUUUUACCCCAGUGAAAAAGGCUUGUAAUCCACAGUUCCUCAACCUGGAAGAUAUGUUUUGUUCCUAACCAUCUAUAAUCCAUUCUCUAUGAAGUGAAGCCUGGCUGCUCUUCCUUUGGAAAUACACAGUUAGUCAAUCAACAUAGAAACACACAAACUUGAAGGAUAUUCUAGUGAGGGCUUAUGGAAAUGAUCUAUGUCUACUCUCAGAAUGGUGAAAGACUAUCAGAUUAUGCAAAGACUAACAGGAUAUCCUCUCUUGGAACACUGAAACAAGAAAAUCAAACAGGAGGUGGAUGGAGGAUUUAAGAAGCAUGGUGAAAGACUAUCAGAUUAUGCAAAGACUAACAGAAUAUCCUCUCUUAAAACACUGAAACAAGAAAAUCAAACAGGAUGGAGAAUUUAAGAAGCACAUAGAUAAAUAUGAUUUCCAACCAAUUUAAGUACGAUCAUAGACUGUGCUUUACAGGAUGACAAAGAAAGGACCCAGGAUAGUAUCUUUUACUGUCAGACACUGACUAUGGAUAAGAUGUAGCCAUUUAUCAAACUGAGAUCUAGUCAAAUCAAGUAUUGAAAAUAUGAUUUUCUGAUAGCAUGAAUUUAUUCUCACCAACUUCAAAGUA